rnacentral:rRNA from 1 species
AUUGAACGCUGGCGGCAUGCCUUACACAUGCUAGUCGAACGGUAACGGGUCCUUCGGGAUGCCGACGAGUGGCGAACGGGUGAGUAAUAUAUCGGAACGUGCCCAGUAGUGGGGGAUAACUGCUCGAAAGAGCGGCUAAUACCGCAUACGACCUGAGGGUGAAAGGGGGGGAUGGGAAGACCUCUCGCUAUUGGAGCGGCCGAUAUCAGAUUAGCUAGUUGGUGGGGUAAAGGCCUACCAAGGCAACGAUCUGUAGUUGGUCUGAGAGGACGACCAGCCACACUGGGACUGAGACACGACCCAGACUCCUACGGGAGGCAGCAGUGGGGAAUUUUGGACAAUGGGCGCAAGCCUGAUCCAGCAAUGCCGCGUGCAGGAAGAAGGCCUUCGGGUUGUAAACUGCUUUUGUCAGGGAAGAAAUCUUCUGGGCUAAUACCCCGGGAGGAUGACGGUACCUGAAGAAUAAGCACCGGCUAACUACGUGCCAGCCGCCGCGGUAA